rnacentral:rRNA from 1 species
UACGGAGGGUGCAAGCGUUAUCCGGAUUUACUGGGUUUAAAGGGUGUGUAGGCGGGUCUUUAAGUCAGUGGUGAAAUCUCCGAGCUCAACUUGGAAACUGCCAUUGAUACUAUUGAUCUUGAAUUCUGUUGAGGUGGGCGGAAUAUGUCAUGUAGCGGUGAAAAUGCAUAGAUAUGACAUAGAACACCAAUUGCGAAGGCAGCUCACUAAGCAGAUAUUGACGCUGAGGCACGAAAGCGUGGGGAUCAAACAGG